rnacentral:ncRNA from 1 species
CGGCGGCCGGAUUCCCGGCCUCGGACGAGAUGCGCCGUACCCGGUCACGCACGACGACGCGGG